CCCGAAUCUCCUAAAUCCAAGCCUGACUCCCCCUCCUCCGUGUGUCGGGAGCCGGGGCAGGAUGGUGUGAGCAGCUCCAACCUCCCCUGAGCGGCCCCGCACUCCUGCAGCCCUUCCCGCACAUAAACAAGUGUCAAAGACCUGUCUGCUCGCUGUGCCCUGCGAGAGCGCUGCCCUGCACCGAGCAUCCCCCUCCUCCUUCACUUUCCCUGCCAUCCCUCUGGCAGCAGGUUUUGUCUUUUUUUAAAAAACCCAGGUGCCAAACCUGUGUGAAAUUACUGAUAUUCACUGAAAUCUGGCUGAGAAGCACUCAGUGCUCCCCUUCUGUACGGGAGGUCACGGUCAGUUUUGUGGCACCAUCACCCCACAGCCGCUGCCUCACCUGCAGGUGGCUGGGGCUGCUCACCGACACAGAAGGGCUGUUAAAGGUGUGUUGAGCUUCAUUUACUCAAGGGUAGAAUUAAUUUGUUUGAACUGUUUCUUUCAGAUAAAAUAAGCCCUUUAAAGGCUGCCGCUACUCUGUCAUUUUAGGCAUCUCCAUGUCCACCUGCCUUGACUUUGCUUUGGUCUGUGUGGAACUGCAGAAUGUUACAAAAUGGCAUUUGCAAAAAGAACAAGUAAACACAGGCUUAAUGAACUCACUUAUUUUGCUUCCUUUACUUAUGACUCAUAAAAUGAAAAUCCUUUAAUGUUGUAACACAAAUAAAUUGCCAUGUUGGUUGCCUCUCGACUGUACUGCAAGUAGGGAACAAGAAGGGCUGAGAGUGAGGGAUCAGGAAAAGGUGAGGAUGUGCUCAGCUCUCAUUAAGUAACAUUAUCCUGCUUCUUUUGGUUUUGAAAGGUGGAAAAGCAAGAGGUGAUGUCUAAUCCUCCCGGGCAGCAAACAAUGGGUGGGGAACGCUGAGCUGGGUGCAGCACUUGGCAGUCUUUGGGGUGCAGUGAUGAGGUGCCAGUGCUUGAUGGUAUGGAUAGAAGGGGACACGCCUCAGCCUUGUGACAUGUGGGGUUAAUGGGGCAGAGCCACACCAUGUCCCUCUGAGGGGACCUGGGUGGCACUGCCACAGCAGUGUCACAUCCCAGCUCUGGGCAGGAGAGGUAAAAAAUGAUUAAAAAAUUAGUUUUUUAUCUUCCUGGGCAGGAGAGGUGCAGGUCCCACAACACCUGCCAGACUGAAUAUCAGGAAUGAAAGGGUUAAACUGAGGCCACCCUCUCCUGAGACAAGUCAGGCAGGUUCUGGUGAUGUAGGGGUGAUGUGGCAGCUUGAAAGAAAGGAUAAACAGAGCGUGGUACAAACUGCUUGAAGAAAAUGAUCCAAAGAGUGAAAACAAGGCUGGGCAGUUGGGAAGCACAGGGAAAAGAUGCCUCAUCAUGAAGUUCACAAGAACUGAGGCAGCAGCCAGCACACCCCACCCUGUGUGUUCACUCAGCAAGCAUGAGGAUGGCAUUGUGGGGAUAUCCUGAAUAAAUAAACACCUGGGGUUUUCCAGUCACAGGGGGUGAUAUCACACCCACAGCACGAAACUGCAGGUGGACCAUCACUGGCACGGAGAAUGCUCUGUCCCUGCGCUGGCACCAGUGGUGCCACACCACAGAUCUUGUCCCAUCCAGUGCUGUGUGUAACCACAGCUGAAAUCACACUGCUGGCAGCUGCAGUUCUCUGCAGAAUCCCUCCACCCUGACCUGACACAUCUUCAAACUGCCUUGCACAGAACUGCACCAUCUACUAAAAAAAAAGUUAAAACAGUAUUUUUCUCUUUUGCUUCAGCAAUAUGCCCGACCUUUUCCUUUCCCCACUUUUAUUUAUGACUCCUCUCUGCUGUCUCUGCCACUGAGGUAUUCAUCCACGUGUUCCCAUCAUUUCAGGUUCCCUUCCUGGGCCAUCCAAUCCCUCAGCUGUUACAGCUCUUCAUAACCUACAUUUUGUGAACAACCACAACUCCCACAGUGAUGUCCAUUUCAGCCCAUUCCACACAGAAGCGGAAAAAUUUCUUCCUGAGAAGGAAUUAAUGCAAGAGAAGUGGAGAUCAGUAAAUGACUACAAUAAAAAUACCCUUCAGCUUUCCUUUUUAUUCUUCCAUAUUUUUCCAGCAGCUUCUUAAAAACUGGUAUUCAGCAAUAAAAUGACCUGAUAACAUUUAGGUCUUUGAGACAUAGAUAUUUUAUUUACUGAAAAAGUGUUACUAAACCACUUUACAAAAACAUUCACCAGGCUUUGCAGCACUUCCAGGAAAAUGCAUACAAUUCCUCCUCUCUUUAUGCAAUCAUUGUUUGCUCCUGUUCAAGCUGACAGAUGGUAUGAAAGUUUUGCACUUGACAUCCAUAAUUGUCUUUCCCACAGGCGUGUGCUCAUCGAUGAUGUGCUCAUUGCAUCACCUCCUGACUUGGAACAUUUUUUUAAAAAGCUGUUUCACAUAUGAAAUCCUGGGAAAGACCUGUCUAAAGCACUGUGUCCAAGGAUGAAAAAUAAAUGAAAGCUCCAGUGGUGCCGUUACCCAGCAGAGCUGAUGGAUUGCACUCUCCUGUGGCUGCUUUCAGCUGCUGUGUCUCGUGAACCAUGCUGCUAAUUUCACAUCUCAGUUACUGCAAAAAUGCUAAAUAAAGGUUUUGUUGUUGUUUUUUUUUCCAUUUUAUCCCUAAAAAUGUGUGAUUAUUCACAUGGCAAAAAUGAUAAAUCUAAAGAUUUGAAAAAGUGAAGAAGUGAUGGCUUCAAGUCAGCAUCAUGCACACACAACUUUCAUUUAAGUCUUGCUUAGCUGAGGAAGUACUUCCAGCAGAAAUAUUAAUUUAAGAUUUUCCUAACUUUCAUGACCAGCCUCAUCCUGAAGUUGAUUUACUUUUGCUGAGUAAUACAGGAUUUGUCUUUAAUUCUUGAAAUAAUAGGAAACAGAAAGAAGGCUUACUUAAAAAAACUACACCUAAAAUGAAUUUUUUGUGUGGUUCAGAUAUUUCUAUUAAAUUGGUUGUGCUAUGUUCCCUUCCAGGAAUUUUACAUCAACAAAAUAUGGCACCAAAAUCACUAAGCAGGGUAAAAAUCCAGAAAGAUUCCUUUGGAAAAGGUGUAUUUAAUGCAGCUGUAACACAGGGUGGAGAUGAAUAAAACACUACACAACUAUUAAAAUAAAUAUAUGCUAAAAUACCAUACCUGUUUUUAUGAAACUCUGAAUCAAAAUCAAUCAUUAAGGCCAACUGGAAAAAAACAAAGUUAAAUAGAAUUCAUUGAUUGUUAAGUCAACAAAAAUCUGAAGAAAGAUACAGAUAAAACAUUUGAAGAUCUUUAUUUUGUUUUUCUGUCCUUUUAAUCUUGCAUUUCUUUAUUUCAACAAAAAAAAAAAAGGCAAAAAUUCUUGGGAAAGAACCUGUUUUUAAAAAGUUGCUAUCUAGAAGAGCUUGAGAAGUUGUUUAUUGCAUGACGACUCAUUCCCACAAUCUGUGAGUGCACUGCCACGUGCAAACCUCUUGUCUUCUCAAAAUCUGCUAAAGUUCUACAAAUCCUAAUUUCUAAACCAGGAAUAGAAGCAUCUGUGAAGAACAGCUCUGCAAAUUCUUCUACUUCCACUAGAGGAUGUUUCACUGGUCACCUUCAAAGGGCUCCCACAGCUCAGAGAGUGGCACAGAGGAUGAUGGUAAGUGGGUACUUACCUACCAAAAAAAAAAAUUGGUGAAGAUGCGCAUCCUGAAAUUACAGCCCUCCAGAAAGAGGUCAUAGUUGACUAUUCCCACAAAAUAAUUCAAGAAUGUCCUAAAAUUUGUAGAAAACAGAAGCAAACAUAGUGUUUAGUUUAACUGACAGCUGAGCAUUAGCUUGGCCAGGCUUUCCAGAACACACUACAAUCUCCUGGAAAGGCUGGAAAUGCACCAAGUUCAGGGCACAAUGGAAUAUCCACAGGUGAUUGUCAAAGUGUAACUGCAAUUCAAACACUGGGAAGGUCACGUGUGGCAAAGGAUCCUUCAGGGCUGGAAACUGAGACACACAAACAGAGGACAAGGAGUAACUGGGCAGUACUUACUCGGUGCUGGGCUGAGGGGUCCGGGGCUCCCUGCCCGUGGCCACGAGGCACUGCCAGCUCCUGGGGGUUCCACGGAGCAGCCCAGGACUUGACCCUGGAAAGGACAAACGGGGCCCUGCCCAGGCAGGGCACAAGUGCCCUGGACAGGAGCUCCUGAGGCUGCCUGGGGUCAGCUGGACACACAGCCCCUGGGACAGAAGGUCUCAAAGCUGCCAGCACUCUCCGGGGCUCGAGGGUUUAGGAAUUGUCCACCAGGACCUCUGCCGUGCUUCCCUGUCUGCACAUCUGGGUGCUGGAGUCACUCUCUCCCUGUCUGCACAUCUGGCUGUUGGAUUCAUUGCUCUUUAGUGACUCUAGAACUCAAUUUAUUUCAGCACUACCCCACCAAGCUGAGUGAGGACGGGUCACAGACUCCACUCACCACCUCCUCCACCUGAUCCUCAGUUCCUGGCCCCUCCGAAGUGAGCAGCACAAAUCCCACUGCCUCAGCAGGACCAGGAUACCAUUGGAAGGAAUUUCCUUCAUUUCAAAUAUGAAGAGUUGAAGCUCUUGGAUUGCAUUAAAUGAGAAACAAAGAGUUUUAAAUGAUUUAUUUGAUUUCUCCACAUGAUCACAGUUAUAGUUUUACAUCAAUAGGGUCUGUUACUACUUACAAACAGAAUGCAUAUUAAAAUGAAAGCACUCCUUUCUUCCCCAGAGUUACAAAAGGGGUCUCGAGCCUCCCCAGAACAGAAGCUUCUUGUAAGCAUAAUGAUUUUUGAAGUCUUUAAGAGUCUGCAUUCAAGACCUAAUUCUAACAGUUUAAUACAACUCAAAGCUGAUUUAAGUUCCUAGCAGGAGAUAGGCAACCUCAAAGUGACUGCAGACUUAUAGUAAUGCUAAUUUACACACUAUGUACAAUUUAGAUAAUUCUCUAUUCCCCCUACUGGUCCCAUUUUCACCACCCCCUUUUCUCUUUUCCAAAUUGAAUCUUGUUAUUGGUUCCACUUUUCUUUGAAAUAUAUACACGAGAAUCCAUUUUUCAGUCAAGAAGUGCAAUGGUAUUUUACAAGGGAACAGCAAAAUGCAUGCUUAACUGCAGAAAACACACAGCUUCAUAUGGAACAGCAAGUCAACAUCUAGAGAUUCAGUGUUUAAAUAUCUGCUGACUGUCUUUCAGCUCAUUUUAUCAAGAAACAAGAGGCUUCUGCUGCAUGCAGUACAUGAUGGGAAAAUCAUUCUACACUGUAUGUUAGACUCUUUUUUUUAGCAAUACAAGGCGCACAUUAUAUUAGGAUGAACUUUGAUUUUUUGUUUCUUUACAUUGUUUUACAUUUCAUUCUUAACUUAAAAAAAUAAAAACCCCAAAUAUAUAUUUGAUUGUUGUCCCAGAAAAGAUUUUUUUUGUUGUUGCCACACCUUCAUUCUUUACAUUUCCCUUUCAUUUGUCCAAAUCAGCAUUACUGCUUUGCCACAUCGUUUAUGGGAAGAGAGAAUCACGGUCAGUCUAUGCAGUUCUGUACCAGUUUGUAAUUGGCAAUGGUAUCUGAUAAAAAACCCUCUCCAUUCUACUCCUGUCUGCAGGCUGAAGAAUUCAUUUUAAUUCAUUUUCUUAACCCCAGGCAGUGUUAAGUGCUGGAAUUCUCCUAUUCUAGGCACGACCCACACUGCUCUAAGCAACUGUUGAUCAAGGAUGGAGUCAGAGAGGUUUUACUAUGACCCUAUACAAGCAGCAAAGGUCUGGAGACUUGUGCUGACACCAAGACACUUUUGUUUGGUUGGAGUACAUAGAAACACAUAGUCUAAGAAACAAAACAGAACAAAACUAGGAAAAAAAAAAAAAAAGUAAA